ACGAAGGGUGCAAGCGUUACUCGGAAUUACUAGGCGUAAAGCGUGCGUAGGUGGUUUGUUAAGUCCGAUGUGAAAGCCCUGGGCUCAACCUGGGAAUGGCAUUGGAUACUGGCAGGCUAGAGUGCGGUAGAGGGGUGUGGAAUUCCAGGUGUAGCGGUGAAAUGCGUAGAUAUCUGGAGGAACACCGGUGGCGAAGGCGGCAUCCUGGACCGACACUGACGCUGAUGAGCGAAAGCCAGGGGAGCAAACGGGA
rnacentral:rRNA from 1 species